rnacentral:rRNA from 1 species
CAGUAGCCGCGGGAAUACGGAGGGAGCUAGCGUUGUUCGGAAUUACUGGGCGUAAAGCGCACGUAGGCGGCUACUCAAGUCGGGGGUGAAAGCCCGGGGCUCAACCCCGGAACUGCCCUCGAAACUAGGUAGCUAGAAUCUUGGAGAAGUCAGUGGAAUUCCGAGUGUAGAGGUGAAAUUCGUAGAUAUUCGGAGGAACACCAGUGGCGAAGGCGACUGGCUGGACAAAUAUUGACGCUGAGGUGCGAAAGCGUGGGGAGCAAACAGGAUUAGAUACCCCUGUAGUCCCUGUCUCUUAUAC